rnacentral:rRNA from 1 species
UACGUAGGGUGCAAGCGUUAAUCGGAAUUACUGGGCGUAAAGCGUGCGCAGGCGGUUAUAUAAGUCAGAUGUGAAAUCCCUGGGCUCAACCUAGGAACUGCAUUUGAGACUGUAUGGCCAGGGUGUGUCAGAGGGGGGUAGAAUUCCACGUGUAGCAGUGAAAUGCGUAGAUAUGUGGAGGAAUACCGAUGGCGAAGGCAGCCCCCUGGGAUAACACUGACGCUCAUGCACGAAAGCGUGGGGAGCAAACAGG